rnacentral:rRNA from 1 species
CCCCCUACGGGAGGCAGCAGUGAGGAAUAUUGGUCAAUGGGCGGAAGCCUGAACCAGCCAAGUCGCGUGAGGGAAUAAGGCCCUACGGGUCGUAAACCUCUUUUGCCGGGGAGCAAGGGCCGGGACGCGUCCCGGCCCGGAGGGUACCCGGAGAAAAAGCAUCGGCUAGCUCCGUGCCAGCAGCCGCGGUAAUACGGAGGAUGGGAGCGUUAUCCGGAUUUAUUGGGUUUAAAGGGGUCGUAGGCGGGCU